GACGAACGCUGGCGGCGUGCUUAACACAUGCAAGUCGAACGGAAAGGCCCUGCUUUUGUGGGGUGCUCGAGUGGCGAACGGGUGAGUAACACGUGAGUAACCUGCCCUUGACUUUGGGAUAACUUCAGGAAACUGGGGCUAAUACCGGAUAGGAGCUCCUGCUGCAUGGUGGGGGUUGGAAAGUUUCGGCGGUUGGGGAUGGACUCGCGGCUUAUCAGCUUGUUGGUGGGGUAGUGGCUUACCAAGGCUUUGUCGGGUAGCCGGCCUGAGAGGGUGACCGGCCACAUGGGGACUGAGAUACGGCCCAGACUCCUACGGGAGGCAGCAGUGGGGAAUAUUGCACAAUGGGCGGAAGCCUGAUGCAGCAACGCCGCGUGCGGGAUGACGGCCUUCGGGUUGUAAACCGCUUUCGCCUGUGACGAAGCGUGAGGGACGGUAAUGGGUAAAGAAGCACCGGCUAACUACGU
rnacentral:rRNA from 1 species